AAGCAGCGAGGGUGUCCUGAGUGAGAACUCUCUGUCUUCGUGCUCCGUGCCUGGGGUCAGCGGCUGUGAGCAGCUGUGCCUCGAUGGCCAGCAGCCUCGGGUGGCGCACCUGCGGCCUCCAGCGGCGGCUGAACCUUCACAUUGUGAGGAGAUUCCCACUUCUUGGAGGAUUCGCGAACUUCCUCAGCAUAGGGUAGGGACACGGCGUCUCAUCUCUCACUUGGAAUCUCCCCCAGAACCAGAAGUGACUCCAGUUAGGAGGACAACUUCUAUGCCGGAAGGUCUGGUGUGCUCUGUCCCACGACACGCAAAUGGACCUCAGAGGAGCAAAGCAGCCAGCAUGGGUUCUCCAAGGCCUCUUCAUGACCCCCUGGCCUCUGGGUCCUGGAACCUGACUUUCCGGAGAAGUGAGGUCACAGAGAGAGAGAGAGAGGCAGAGACACAGGCAGAGGGAGAAGCAGGCUCCAUGCAGGGAGCCCGACGUGGGAUUCGAUCCCGGGUCUCCAGGAUCGCGCCCUGGGCCAAAGGCAGGCGCCAAACCGCUGCGCCACCCAAGGAUCCCCUAUAUUCAUGUUUAUAUUGAUGAACGAAUCCAUAGUCUCCCACCCAGAGAACAUUACCAGGUGAGAAUCUGCGUUCCCUCUGGAGUUUCGGCGGGGUGCUUAGGCUCCCCCCUGGGCGCCCAAACCCACCCCAGGAGCUUCUUUAGACACCCGAGGUCAGAGAGAAAGACGGAGAUGAAAACUCUUGGAUUUAACAACAGAUGCUGGAACCUUUGACAAUUCAAGAAAUACUGGAGUGAAACGAAGGCAGGCCAGCGGAGCCUGGAACUGCGGGCACACCGUGGGGGAGGGGCAGACAGAGGGCUCAUAAACGAGGUGGCCGCACGUCACCCUUCUCGCCAGAACGUGCCCGUGGGGUCACCGCCACCUACAGAGACCUCAGAUGGCACCUGCUUCUCCUUGGGAGUUAGUAACACGUCAGCAGAGUGCUGCAAGUCCUUGAGCAAAGGCUGUGUCAGCUGCAGGUAAGAGUCCACAUGCCCGUACUCUUUGCUGGAAGGAACUUGGCAAAAGUACAGAAGCCUCGAAUGUGCCUACGUAUGGCCUGCUGGGAACGUCUGCCUGAGGACGGCCUGGGGGUGGGCAGUGUGGAGACACACCUGCAGCCGCCGAGGGCCCAGGACCCAAGAAUACCUUGCCGUUUCAAAGGCUUGUUAGGCCAAAACCGGAGCAGGAGACGGAGACCACACGGGCCGCCAAGCCUACAGCACCUGCUCGCUGGCCGACCCCUAGUUUGUGUGGUGAGUGGACAGCGAGCCCCGCCGAGCACUGAGAUGUCACUGCAGCGGGACCACCCAGGGCGCACACGUCACAAACCUCGUGCAAGUCGCUCAAUAAAUCUUGGCAAAUCCA